GAUGAACGCCGGCGGCGUGCCUAAUACAUGCAAGUCGAGCGAAUGGAUUAAGAGCUUGCUCUUAUGAAGUUAGCGGCGGACGGGUGAGUAACACGUGGGUAACCUGCCCAUAAGACUGGGAUAACUCCGGGAAACCGGGGCUAAUACCGGAUAACAUUUUGAACCGCAUGGUUCGAAAUUGAAAGGCGGCUUCGGCUGUCACUUAUGGAUGGACCCGCGUCGCAUUAGCUAGUUGGUGAGGUAACGGCUCACCAAGGCAACGAUGCGUAGCCGACCUGAGAGGGGGAUCGGCCAAACUGGGACUGAGACACGACCCAGACUCCUACGGGAGGCAGCAGUAGGGAAUCUUCCGCAAUGGACGAAAGUCUGACGGAGCAACGCCGCGUGAGUGAUGAAGGCUUUCGGGUCGUAAAACUCUGUUGUUAGGGAAGAACAAGUGCUAGUUGAAUAAGCUGGCACCUUGACGGUACCUAACCAGAAAGCCACGGCUAACUACGUGCCAGCAGCCGCCGUAA
rnacentral:rRNA from 1 species